rnacentral:rRNA from 1 species
UACGUAGGGUGCAAGCGUUAAUCGGAAUUACUGGGCGUAAAGGGCGCGUAGGCGGCUUAACAAGUCACUUGUGAAAUCUCCGGGCUUAACUCGGAACGGCCAAGUGAAACUGUCAAGCUAGAGUGCAGAAGGGGCAAUCGGAAUUCUUGGUGUAGCGGUGAAAUGCGUAGAUAUCAAGAGGAACACCUGAGGUGAAGACGGGUUGCUGGGCCGACACUGACGCUGAGGCGCGAAAGCCAGGGGAGCAAACGGG